GGAGAGGUGGCCGAGAGGCUGAAGGCACCGCUCUCGAAAAGCGGCAUCCUGUUGACGCGGGAUCGGGGGUUCAAAUCCCUCCCUCUCCG
rnacentral:tRNA from 1 species